UACGUAGGGCGCAAGCGUUGUCCGGAAUUAUUGGGCGUAAAGAGCUCGUAGGCGGUGUGUCACGUCGGCCGUGAAAACCUGCAGCUUAACUGUGGGCGUGCGGUCGAUACGGGCAUCACUGGAGUUCGGCAGGGGAGACUGGAAUUCCUGGUGUAGCGGUGAAAUGCGCAGAUAUCAGGAGGAACACCGGUGGCGAAGGCGGCCAUCUGGACCGCAACUGACGCUGAGGCGCGAAGGCGUGGGGAGCAAACAGG
rnacentral:rRNA from 1 species